UUUCGCAAUGCCCGAAAGGGUGACGAAGCGACGCCGCGUGCGGGAGGAAGGCCUUCGGGUUGUAAACCGCUGUCGGGAGUUAAGAAAUGCAAGGAUGUUAAUAGCGUUCUUGCUUGACUAAGGCUCCGGAGGAAGCCACGGCUAACUCUGUGCCAGCAGCCGCGGUAAUACAGAGGCGGCAAGCGUUGUUCGGAAUUAUUGGGCGUAAAGAGCACGUAGGCGGCUGUGUAAGUCGGUUGUGAAAGCCUUCCGCUCAACGGAAGAACGGCAUCCGAUACUGCAUGGCUUGAGUGUGGGAGGGGAGAGUGGAACUUCUGGUGGAGCGGUGAGAUGCGUAGAUAUCAGAAGGAACACCGGCGGCGAAGGCGACUCUCUGGUCCAUAACUGACGCUGAGUGUGCGAAAGCUAGGGGAGCAAACGGGAUUAGAUACCCCGGUAGUCCUAGCCGUAAACGAUGGGCACUAAGUAGAGGGGUUUU
rnacentral:rRNA from 1 species